ACGGAGGGUGCAAGCGUUAUCCGGAAUCACUGGGUUUAAAGGGUGCGUAGGCGGAAAAUUAAGUCAGUGGUGAAAUCUUGUCGCUUAACGAUAAAAUUGCCAUUGAUACUGGUAUUCUUGAAUUGGGUUGAGGUUAGCGGAAUGUGACAUGUAGCGGUGAAAUGCAUAGAUAUGUCAUGGAACACCAAUUGCGAAGGCAGCUAACUGGGCCUUGAUUGACGCUGAGGCACGAAAGCGUGGGUAGCGAACAGG
rnacentral:rRNA from 1 species